AGAUUGAACGCUAGCGGGAUGCUUUACACAUGCAAGUCGAACGGCAGCGCGGACUUCGGUCUGGCGGCGAGUGGCGAACGGGUGAGUAAUAUAUCGGAACGUGCCCAGUAGCGGGGGAUAACUACGCGAAAGCGUGGCUAAUACCGCAUACGCCCGUACGGGGGAAAGGGGGGGAUUCUUCGGAACCUCUCACUAUUGGAGCGGCCGAUAUCAGAUUAGCUAGUUGGUGAGGUAAAGCUCACCAAGGCGACGAUCUGUAGCUGGUUUGAGAGGACGACCAGCCACACUGGGACUGAGACACGGCCCAGACUCCUACGGGAGGCAGCAGUGGGAAUUUGGACAAGUGGGGAACCUGAUCAGUCCAUCCCGCGUGUGCGAGUGGAGGCCGUUCGGGUUGUAAAGUACGUACUUUUAGGCGUAGGGAAGGAAACGGCGU
rnacentral:rRNA from 1 species